rnacentral:rRNA from 1 species
UAAUAUUAGACAAUGGGCGCAAGCCUGAUCCAGCCAUGCCGCGUGAGUGAUGAAGGCCUUAGGGUUGUAAAGCUCUUUCGUCGGAGAAGAUAAUGACUGGACUGGAGAGAGCC